UACGUAGGGGGGCAAGCGUUGUCCGGAUUUAUUGGGCGUAAAGAGCUCGUAGGCGGCUUGUCGCGUCUGUUGUGAAAGCCCGGGGCUUAACCCCGGGUCUGCAGUGGAUACGGGCAGGCUAGAGGCAGGUAGGGGAGAACGGGAAUUCCCGGGUGUAGCGGUGAAAUGACGCAGAUAUCGGGAGGAACACCGGUGGCGAAGGCGGUUCUCUGGGCCUGUACUGACGCUGAGGAGCGAAAGCGUGGGGAGCGAACAGG
rnacentral:rRNA from 1 species